ensembl:snoRNA SNORA71 Small nucleolar RNA SNORA71
UCCUGCAUUCGAAAGUGAUCAUGGGCUGCCUGUGCCCUGGUCAUUGAUAGUGCAGGGAGAGGAAUUGGUGGAAGGCAUUUCCCCGUGUUUGGAGGGUCCACUCGUCCCUUCCGAACCCUGAAACUUUCACACA